rnacentral:hammerhead_ribozyme from 1 species
GCUCUUCUAAAGUGUCCCACAAUAGAACGAAACGGCCGUCCAGAGC